AGAGUUAGGAAAUGUAGAUUCGCUAAUAUCGGGUCUAUUUGACAAAGGCUCCAAAGGAAGCCACGGCUAACUCUGUGCCAGCAGCCGCGGUAAUACAGAGGUGGCAAGCGUUGUUCGGAAUUAUUGGGCGUAAAGAGCACGUAGGUGGAUUUGUAAGUCAGAUGUGAAAGCCUUCUGUUCAACGGGAGAAUUGCAUCUGAAACUACAGACCUUGAGUGUAGGAGGGGAGAGUGGAAC
rnacentral:rRNA from 1 species